rnacentral:rRNA from 1 species
CACCGCGGUUAUACGAGAGGCCCAAGUUGACAGACACCGGCGUAAAGAGUGGUUAAGGAAGUUCAUCAACUAAAGCCGAAUGCCCUCAAGACUGUUAUACGUUUGCGAAGGUAAGAAGCCCUACUACGAAAGUGGCUUUAUUCCACCUGAUUCCACGAAAGCUGCGAAA